GGAUGGACGGACAGACAGAUAGACGGACGGACAGACGGAUGGACAGACAGCGGUUUACCAUAAUAAGUCUGGCAAAUUGGGGUAUAAAUAUCAUGUCAACUUCAAAAUUGCUUAUCUUGGAAAGGAACAGUCCUAGGUAUGACAGUCUUCAUGGAAUGCAACUGAAAAAUUCAGACUUUUUUCAACUGUUUUUUUAUUUUACUGUAACCACAAGAAGUGGCUUCAGAGAUAUAAAUUAUAUAAUCAUUUACAGGGUGAGUUUUUAUAUUUCCAGGAUUUUUUUUUGGAUUUUUUGUUUUGAGGGGGAGGAUUAAUAUCUCAGAACUAUAUGGUGUGGGCAAACUAAAAAGGGGUAGACAACUCCUCAUCAAUCUUUCUUCUAAUUCAAUUUACAAACUCGUAUUGGUUCAAACUGCAAUUUGUUAAUUUUUUUUUCACUCUAGAAUGUUUUUAUACAUGUCCAAACUUUUUAACAAAUUAAACUAAUGUUUAUUACUGUCAAUUAAUCAAUUAUUACAUACAUA
rnacentral:lncRNA from 1 species